rnacentral:misc_RNA from 1 species
UGGUAGGCAUUUUCAUGUGAAAUAAUUCCCUAUUCGGUGACCAAUGGGUAUUCUGAUUAAUUACUGUCGUCAUGUUUUUAGGAGGCAAAACUUUAAUGAAUGGUUACUCUAGCACAGCAGAAAUAAAUCCUAACCAACAUUUUGCAAUGAGGGUUGCAUUUGUCCAUCCCCUUUUUUUGUCCACCCCCUUUUUAUACUAUUAAAA